rnacentral:lncRNA from 1 species
AUACAGAAAGCCCUCUGUCCUUACGAUAAAGGCAGAAGAUCUAAUUGAGCUGAUUAACACAAGCUGCCUGCGGACUGUUAAACUGAAAGACACACACUGUAACACACGUCCACUGGAGCUUCAGGAGCUGUAAACACUCAACUCUAGACGCUGCCGUGGGGUGGGGCCAGAGCCCACGCUCCCCACGACCUGCCCGUCUGCAUGCUCCCCUAGCGGUUUGAGCUGCUGCAGCAGAGCACCGAAGAAGCAAGCCACACCCCACCACAAACCCUGUGAGGGGGAUAAGGGAACUUUUCCUGUUUCAACUGGGACUACGCCCAGGAUUUCGGAAGGGAUUCCAGCAUUUGUCCCAGCAUGUUUUAUGCAGAAAGAAGUAAUCAAGGAAAGUGUCCAAGAUACUGUAAGCCGAACGUAGAAUGAGGUUGAGUCAUAGUGAGAGGAUUGUCCACUCUGUUAUGCAUGAUUGAGAGUCAUAUUUAUUCCUAAACUACGUUCUUUUAUUAUUACUGUUAACUUUUUCUGUUAAGUCCACAUUAUUUAAAAUUUACUUACAUGCUUCUCUUUUAAAUCUUCAUGCACUUAAGUUCCUGAAACAAAGCACUGCUUUCCUAAAGAGAUAUACUAAUUUAUUACAAAUAUACAUAUUAAAUCCUGAAAAAAGUAUAGAAUUCCUGUUACCAUUAAAAUAAAGGAGAUAACUCACCCGGCCAUAUGAAAAGCUCUUGUCCAGACGGCAGUAGCAAGGUCAUAGCUAUUUCAUAUUGUCUUGAUGAUAUUACAUACAUCUUCUUUGAAGAUGUUAUCCAUUGUAUAAAAGUUCAUUUCCAUGUUUUUAAAUUUUUUUCUUAAUUUAAUAUAAUUAAUCAAGUUUAAACAAAUAUGUUUAAUUUUUAUAGGUCACAUUUUUUUCUGAAUUGAAUUAUCUUUCUUUACAAUAUUAAAAUUUGAUAGAAUAAAACUGGAACAAAGAUUGUGAUACUAAUCAAUAGGUCCUCAUAAGUUUUUACACAACUGAAGAUGAAAAAUGUCAUGUUUAAAAAUGAAAAGUUAAACAAAAAUGACAAAAAUAGGGAAAACCUUAGGAUUUUAAUUUGUAUUUUAUUAAAGUUUAGCUGAUGUUAAUAACUUGAAAAAGUUGGUUUUGUAAUUAU